UUGAGGUUGUUCAUCGUUAAAGUACCAGUCUAAGGAGCUUGGAAAGAUGAGCUUCUAGAACUUGUAUGUGAGGAGCAGGAGCUCCCUGAAGGAGAACCCCGGCCACGUCGUCAUUUUUUUGAGGUUGUCCGUCGUCAAUGUACCAGUCUAAGGAGCUUGGAAAGAUGAGCUUCUAGAACUUGUAUGUGAGGAGCAGGAGCUCCCUGAAGGAGAACCCCGGCCACGUCGUCAUUUUUUUGAGGUUGUCCGUCGUCAAUGUACCAGUCUAAGGAGCUUGGAAAGAUGAGCUUCUAGAACUUGUAUGUGAGGAGCAGGAACUCCCUGAAGGAGAACCCCG